rnacentral:tRNA from 1 species
UGGGAUGUGGCUCAGUGGUAGAGUGCUUGCCUAGCAUGCAUGAGCCUAUGAAUUUGAUUCCCAGCACCUCAA